AUGCUUGCUUUUCGGGAUUCACUUGAAGUGUGCGAGCUGACUGAUUUGGGUUUUGUUGGAAGGCCAUAUACUUCUGAUAAUAAGAGGAGUGGUGCAGCAAAUGUUAAAGUACGGUUAGAUCGUGGAGAUGCAAAUCUGGAUUGGAGGUACAUGUUCCCUGCUGCCUCAAUCCAUCAUCUUGUUUCACCCCGGUCGGAUCAUUGUCCAUUGCUUGUCAAGUGCGAAGCUGAUUCGGGCCCAAAACCUAAGAAAGUUAAGCACUAUGAGAUCAUGUGGGAGAGGGAUUCUGCCCUCACAGAAGUUAUUGCAAACAUGUGGAAAGAUGCGGGCCAAAAACGUACACUUGGGGAGAUUGGUCAAGCUUUGGGGAAGGUAAUGACCUCGUUGCAUCAAUGGAGCAGAGCCAAAAUUGGCAAUGUAACUAGGGAGAUUGAGAAGUCUCGUACGAGGCUAGAGGAGCUAAUGAAUAUGAAUGCGGACCGAGCCGAACUGAGAAAGGAGGAGGAUAAAAUGAAUGAAUUACUAUACCGAGAAGAGAUGAUGUGGUUGCAAAGGUCUCGUAUUGCUUGGUUAAAAGAAGGGGACCGAAAUACAAAAUUUUUCCAUGCCAAAGCGAUUUGGCGGGCGAGGAAAAACAGUAUUAAAAAACUUGAAGAUACAAAUGGGGUUGUUCAUUCUGGAGAUGCAAUGGGCCAGGCUGCUACUUCUUACUUUCAAAACAUCUUCACUACCGACCCCUUGUGUCGGUCACCUACAUCCGCUCAUGCAAACACAUGUUAA
rnacentral:rRNA from 1 species